rnacentral:rRNA from 1 species
GACGAACGCUGGCGGCGUGCUUAACACAUGCAAGUCGAACGGAAAGGCCCUGCUUUUGUGGGGUGCUCGAGUGGCGAACGGGUGAGUAACACGUGAGUAACCUGCCCUUGACUUUGGGAUAACUUCAGGAAACUGGGGCUAAUACCGGAUAGGAGCUCCUGCUGCAUGGUGGGGGUUGGAAAGUUUCGGCGGUUGGGGAUGGACUCGCGGCUUAUCAGCUUGUUGGUGGGGUAGUGGCUUACCAAGGCUUUGACGGGUAGCCGGCCUGAGAGGGUGACCGGCCACCUUGGGACUGAGAUACGGCCCAGAAUCCUACGGGAGGCAGCAGUGGGGAAUAUUGCACAAUGGGCGGAAGCCUGAUGCAGCAACGCCGCGUGCGGGAUGACGGCCUUCGGGUUGUAAACCGCUUUCGCCUGUGACGAAGCGUGAGUGACGGUAAUGGGUAAAGAAGCAACGGCUAACUACGUG